UCCCGUGUGGCUCAGUUGGUAGAGCAUGGUGUUUGCAACGCCAGGGUUGUGGGUUCGAUUCCCACGGGGAA
rfam:Salmo salar isolate Sally breed double haploid chromosome ssa11, whole genome shotgun sequence.